GUGUUCCUGCGGUGCUCGUGAUGGAUCUUAGGAGGCUCGUCUGAGCCAAUGUUCCUUCCAAGCGAGCUGCGUCCGCUGCGUGGUGUGCAUGCCUCCGUCGUGAGGAAGCCUGAAGCGCGGUGUUCCAGCGGCUCCACCUGUUAACGCAGGUUCAGCGAUCCUCCCCACACGGCACCGCGGGACAUUU
rnacentral:other from 1 species